GGUAUACGGACCGCAAUAGUGCCCAUGGGUGGGCCAUUUUCGUAGCGUGGGACGUCUCUCCGUCGGAGCGCCGUCUUGAGCCGUGGACCAGAACGCGUCGAGUAAUUCGAGCCGUGGUCCAGGACGGUAGUCCACGACUGAGAUCCACGACUGAUUCGAGAAACCUCGGUCCCGUGCUGUCGGCGGCGGCUUCUACUUGUUCCGGCGGCGUGGCUACGGGCUGGAGUUGCUGAUGGAACCCCUGGACCGGUUGUGGCUGGGCAGUGCACCACCAGACAGAACUCCGUGUGCAUUGAGAAUGAGUGCGUUGGAACAGUCUCUUUGGAAAUUCACGGAUGAGCCCAUGAAAAGUGUGAUCAAACCUGAACUUGGCAGAUUGAAAAUUGUACAACAUCAUUUGCAGUCUCUUCGGAUCUGUUGAGAAAGUACCAUUCUCAAAGAGUACUUUGCGGAACAUAUGUGGAAGAUUAGUCAUGAGCAGGCAGAUGAUGAUGUGAGGACAACUUUGGUUGUUUUCGCCCAUAUUGUUGCUGGUGACCCAUACACUACAUGUCGAGUUAUUGAAGCCCGAGCAAGAUCAAGAAUUUGAUGUGGACAAAUGGGAACAGUCGCAUGCAGUACCGGUAGUUUGGUGAUGUAGUCACUUUUGACACGACGCACAGGACGAAUCUGUACGACAUGCCAUUCCGGCAUUUGUUGGGGUGAACAACCAUUUCCAGUGCAUUAUUUUGGUAGGGGUUCUAAUGAGGGACAAGCAGAUCGAAAGUUUCAAAUGGGCAUUCACUAAGUUCCUUUCCAUGAUUGGUGGCCGAGCCCCGAAAACAAUCCUCACAGAGCUAUGGAGGUGCCAAUCAGCAACUGUAUCCAGACACUCAAAAAGGCUAAGGAGUGCCUAGGUCCUUUGUACACAAAGAAGAAUGAGUUCAGAUCUGAAUUCCACAAGGUUGUGAACCACAAACUACGAUGAUGAGACGAUGGAUGGCUGCGAUGAACGCGAGGAUAAGGACGUGCAAGUACGUCCGUACGUGGACUCUGCUUAGUCUCUUCUGGUUCAGGGAGUAAGCAGGUCAUUCCGUUGACGCAAUGGUACAGGUCGUGGACAACUACACUUCGGAGACGGCUACAGAACUCCUUGCAUUUUCAGUGGGAGGUGGUACAACUGGAACCCCGCCCGGUUAUGAUCUUCAAGCAGGAGCGGGACGACAAGAUAGAAGAUGCAUCCCUGGAAGAAGGUUUCGGCGAGGACGAUCCAUGCACCGGAGCGUUGGCUGACGAUGAUGGUGGUGACUCGGAUGUGGACGACGGAUCUGACAUAAUGUAUGCUGUCGAGGAAGUUGAAUCCGUUGGGGAGGAUCAAAGCAAUGGUGUACGCGGGCAGAGCACUCUUCUUUCAGUUCUCUGUGUGGUGUCCGUCCUGACGCAAGGAAGAAUUCGGGAGUGCAUUAAAAAGUGUGAUGCCAAUGUGUAUGUGAUGCUUUCCGAUUGUCAACCCCAGUUUCUUGUAUAUAUAAGCGUAAAAAGUUUUUCUGCUUUGCCAUCCUGGAUUAGAAUACACAACACUCUGUAACAUAGAAUCUGUUUGGAGGACGAA